UGGAUCCUUUGGCAGUAAGCUGGCUUCGCGUAUAUCUUUCGAGAUCCCACUCCCCACAUACUCUCGUCUACUACAGGGACGCACUAGAUCGACAACGGGACGAGCAGAUGACAUGGCAGCCUUACACAGCGGCUAAGAUGGAAGCUCUACCGCACAUAUGUACAUCGGGCCACGAGAUUUGGAGAUCGCGUUGUCCUCUUAUUUGCUUUGAC